rnacentral:rRNA from 1 species
CUGCCCAGUGAUUUAAAUUUAACGGCCGCGGUACCCUGACCGUGCAAAGGUAGCAUAAUCAUUUGCCCUAUAAUUGAGGGCUAGUAUGAAUGGUUUGACAAGAGUAAUACUGUCUCCAUAAAAAUUUUUAGAAUUUAUUUUUUAGGUGAAGAAACCUAAAUAAAAUUAAAAGACAAGAAGACCCUAUCGAGCUUUAAAUCUAUUUAUAAAGUAAAAAAAAUUGAGAUAAUAUUUUUGAUUAUAAAAAAUUUUGGUUGGGGCGACUAAGGAACAAAAAAAGCUUCUUUAUGAAAUUUAAAUUUAUAAAUUAUGAUCCAUUAUUAUAAUGAUUAAAAGAAUUAGUUACCGUAGGGAUAACAGCAUAAUCCUUUUUGAGAGUUCUUAUCGAAAAAAGGGUUUGUGACCUCGAUGUUGGACUAGAAUAUCCUGAAAGAUGCAGAAGUCUUCGAGGGUUGGUCUGUUCGA